UACGGAGGAUGCAAGCGUUAUCCGGAAUUGUUGGGCGUAAAGCGUCCGCAGGUGGCUGUGUAAGUCUGCUGUUAAAGAGUGAGGCUCAACCUCAUAAGAGCAGUGGAAACUACAUGGCUAGAGUGCGUUCGGGGCAGAGGGAAUUCCUGGUGUAGCGGUGAAAUGCGUAGAUAUCAGGAAGAACACCGGUGGCGAAAGCGCUCUGCUAGGCCGCAACUGACACUGAGGGACGAAAGCUAGGGGAGCGAAUGGG
rnacentral:rRNA from 1 species